rnacentral:rRNA from 1 species
GGGGAAUUGUUCACAAUGGGCGCAAGCCUGAUGACGCAACGCCGCGUGGGGGAUGAAGGUCUUCGGAUCGUAAACCCCUGUCGAAUGGGACGAAUAAUUCGCGAGCUAAUACAUCGCGGAAAUGACGGUACCGUUAAAGGAAGCCACGGCUAACUCUGUGCCAGCAGCCGCGGUAAUACAGAGGUGGCAAGCGUUGCUCGGAAUUACUGGGCGUAAAGGGCGCGUAGGCGGCCAUCUAAGUCAGACGUGAAAUCCCCCGGCUUAACCUGGGAACUGCGUCUGAUACUGGAAGGCUUGAGUAUGGGAGAGGGAUGUAGAAUUCCAGGUGUAGCGGUGAAAUGCGUAGAUAUCUGGAGGAAUACCGGUGGCGAAGGCGGCAUCCUGGACCAUUACUGACGCUGAGGAGCGAAAGCGUGGGUAGCAAAC